GCUCCUGGCUUACUCUUCUCUUCCUCACUCGGUUGAUCUGAUUAUUUUUCCCUUCACAUUUUGUCCCAAUAGCAAAUUACCAAUUCUAUGAAUUGCAAAGCAGCCUCAGAGACGCUGAAGGGGUAGAGAGAGGAGGGAGAGGAGGUGGUGGUGGUGGGGAUGCAAAGAUUGAAAGGGAUCUUUGCAAACACAAUCACGUUCUUAAAUGGAAAUGCGGGGCUUUAAACAAAUCUUACAUCUCUCCUCUUCCAUUCGCCCAAAACUCUGCAAUCAGGCGCAUGUUCCGCUGCCUCUAAAAGGAGCUGCUUUUUUUGGGGAAGGUCCCAUUUUAAUCAUUCACCUAAAAGCUAUGUUGUUUUUUUCUUUAGCCUUUUUUAUGUCAGCCCCAUGCGACUGUUCUUUUUUUCUGUUUACAGGAGUUACUCGGCUCUGCUGUUCAUUUUAAUCCGGAGCUUCAUGACUAAACGACCUCACAGUGCUGAGCUGCUUGCCAGCAUGGAGGCCGCGACCCCAGACGGAUGCCUCAGGAUCAUUUUCUGGCAAUUAAAAUGGAGCGCUGCUGCAGGAUUUUCGCCUGCAGUGCAACACUACAGUGCUGAUGAAUAAUUCUUCACCCAGCAAACUGGAAAGCUAGCCUUUCUUUCAUGUCGGCCCUUUGUUGAUUUACCAUUAAAACUUACUGCACCGUGCUACGAGUGGAGGACCCAGCUCUGUGGGAGCUGGCAAAAAGUAAAAAUGAGGAUGAAGCAGAUACGAGUACAUGUGCUCCAGGGUCUUUUUCCACAGCCUAAAGUGAGGAAGCCUCUCAGUUACAUGUGUGUGUUGUCAGUGUUUGUGUUUACAGUUUAGAUUUAUGGUACACAGGGCCUCUAUAUUUAUGUCCACUGCCUUUUUCUGUACUACUUACAGUUUAUGUUAAUUUUUCUUAUCAGUGUUUUUCAUUACGGGGCCUUGCUGCAUUGUGUGAGUGAUUAGACGGCCAUUUAUCUCUGUCCCCCCCCCCCAAAGCCCCCCAUCCCACCGCGUGCCGCCCAUACACACACGCACACCCACACUACCACACACACACCAAGUAUGAGCAGUGACGGAUGUGUGGUGACGGAGUGAGUGGGGUGCUCCGGCUGCAGAGGCUGAGUGUUGUUGGCAGUAUGUUAAAUGAAGUGGGUGUCCAGGCCAGGAAAGCUCCAGGCUGUUUUCUGUUCUCAGUUCUUAAGAGAAGACUCAUCAAUACUUUAAAGAUUUUUGUUUGAUUUACUUUUGGUGGCCCAGAAGACAAAAAUUUUGGCUAAUCAAAUACUAAAAGUAAAUGCCAUGAUAGGGAUGCUAAAAAUUGUACAAACAUCCUAAAAUGUAUGGGUCUGAUUGUAAAUCAGCUGAAUAAACCAGGAGUGAUAUAGUAUUUAACUUACGGCAUAUUUAUUGGUUAUCCAUUCUAGAACUUUAAAUACAAUUUAAAGUCUUUUCGACUUAACUCACAAAUAACUGCGCUCAGUUUUCUACCCCACAAAUAAACCUGUGACUGAAUAACACUUAAAGUUUGUAUUUUUUGACUAUCCAUAUAAGGGAAUUUAACAAGCAAAUCACUAAUUCCCCAUUGACUCGUGAAUCCACCUGUAAAGUGCAAAUGGUGUGUCUAAACCCUUCCUCUUGGUGUACUAGAUUAGGAGUGUGUGCCAUUGCUUUUCUUUCGUUCUUUAAAACUUUCUAUGUACUUAAAAAUGUUUUAUUUGGAAUAAGCUAACAUUGGAAAGCUUAAAUACAUUCAUACUACAAAUUAGUUAAAGGGAAUAUAGAAAGAUAAAAAUUUUAGAAAAAUGUAUAUACAUAUGCAUGUCCAUUGUUACACUCUGCACCAGGGCACCCUAAUUGGAGGUUAAUGAUUAAUUUUGGAGUCAUAUUUUCCUACAUAUGCAGAAUACCCUGGAAAAGGAGGAAGCUGGACAAACUCAGCUUGGGAAAUAAAGUCUGUUCUCUGCCGCUAUUGUUGAUACGGCUUCCUGUAGCUGUGGUUUUAAGUUUUGCAGUGCCUGUUGUGCUGGAAAUUCGCAAUUGGGAGUGUGAGAGUGCGGCCAGUGGUGGACACUGGCAGGAAGGAAUGCUGUCAAGCUGAAGAAGUCCUGCUGAACAUGUUUGGCUUGAGGGUAUUGAGAGACUAAGUGUAAGCAGCAAGGUUUUGAGGGAUGGAUGUAGUUCAAUUCUAAGUACUUAGGUCUCUGGAUGUUGUCAGGCUGUUGUGGCUAACAUGCCUCUUCAACAUAGUGUGGAUGUUUGGGAAAUAUCCUUGGACUAGCAGACUGGGAUGGUGGUUCCCCUGCAUAAGCAGGGGGACUGGAGGGUGUGCUCCAACCAUAAGAGUCACUUAUUAGUCUCUCCGGAAAGGCUUAUGCCAGGGUGCUGAUAAGGAGAGUCCAGCUGACUGUUGAAUCUUGGCGUAGCUUGGUUUUCAUCUUUGGUGGUUUUGGGGGGGGCUCGAUUGGAGGAAGAUGGCUUGUCCCCGUCAGACUGGAGAAGAGUUACAGCCUCAAGUGGAGGAGUUCAAGUAUCUUCAGUUGCUGUUCACAAAUGAGGGGAGAAUGGAGUGGGAGAUUGUUAGACGGAUCGGUGCGACUGCUGCUAUAAUGUGGAUGCUGCACUGUUCUAUUCUGGUGAUGAAGAGAGAGCUGAGAGAAAAGACAAAGCUCUUGAUUACCUGUUGGUCUUUGCUCCUACCCUCAUCUAUGGUCAUGAAAUCUGGAUCAUUACCAAAAGAAUAUGACCUGGGAUACAAGCAACUGAAAUUUGCUUUCUCCACGGGGUGGCUGGGCACUCCCUUAGAGAUAGUGUGAGGAGCUUGGUGAUCGGGGAGACGACACAAAUAGCAGUCCCUCACCCGGGACUCUGGGAGCUCCUCGGAUUUCCCAGAGUCCGGGGUGAGGGAAGUCUGAGAGUCCCUACAUGGUCUUGGAUAAAGCUAAAAUGAUGUGCACAAGUUUGAGGAGAAAUCUAUUUGCUGUGAUUAACACUGCAAUUACUUUACAGUUUUGAAACUAAUGUUUUUUUUUGUAGUUUAUUAUAUAAAACUGCGUCCAGAAAUCACUUAACAUAAAACCUGCAGAUCCAUUAUUCCUCUCACCAGUAGGGUUUCUUUAUUGAUCUUCUAACUCAUCUCCCUACAUAUAUGUUAUUUCCCCAGAAAGCAUUUUUAAGUGCCCUGGGAAUAAAUGAAAAUGUAUUAAAUGACUGGCUUGCCUUCAUUCAAAAAUGGAUUAACAACAUGAAAAAAUGCUGAAUGUCAACUGAAGAAUACCCUUCAGAAUAUAAAUUCAAACUGACAGCUAUUGUCAGUUUAAUAGAAGUGAGUUUUAGUUGGUUUUAAUUUAAUUGUAUCUUUGUUUAAACGAUUCAGUAGAAAACACAAUCACCCCUAAAGUAAAAAUACAUAACAAUGUCAAACUCUUACUCAUCAAUUGUACUUGAAGUCUUGGUGGCCAUUUGGUAUUUAUGUGCUCUCCUGGUGGAACAUUUACCGUGAAUAAAAUAUAAUGUUAAAGCUACAAAGGAAAUUCAGCCUGAUAAAAGUCGAUCACCUACCUGAAUGUCAAAACUUGUGCUUUUCUGAUUUGAGACAUGUAGGUUCAGGUUGGCCUCUGGUAUCCUGAGUGUCACUGUCACCAGCUACUUUCUUAUUAGUUUAUUGUGCUUUAGGUGUGGUAGGGUUAGGGUUAGACUGAAAAUAAGGUAGGCAUAUAAUGUACCCAGUGAGUUCUUGAUAUGAUCAUAAAGAAGUGUAAUAAGUAAAAAUAUUAAAUUGGUUUGUUAUGUUUCAUAAUGCCUCACUUUUCUGUUCAGCAGUUAUUUUAACAGGAGACUCUUUAAAUGUUUUCUACUCUCUGAAUAACUGCCAAACUAGAUGUUGAUAAUCUAAUGUUAUUAUUCAACAGUUACUCAAUACUCAAGUAGCCUUUUUACUGAAUAUUUAU